rnacentral:rRNA from 1 species
GGUAAUUCUGGAGCUAAUACAUGCAUUAAAGCUCGGACCUYACGGAACGAGCGCAUUUGUUAGUGCAAACCAAUCGGCCCUUCGGGGUCGUACAUUUGGUGAAUCUGAAUAACUUUGCUGAUCGCACGGUCUCGUACCGGCGACAAAUCUUUCAAGUGUCUGCCUUAUCAACUUUCGAUGGUAGUUUACACGCCUACCAUGGUUGUAACGGGUAACGGAGAAUAAGGGUUCGACUCCGGAGAGGGAGCCYGAGAAACGGCUACCACAUCCAAGGAAGGCAGCAGGCGCGCAAAUUACCCACUCGCAGUACGCGGAGGUAGUGWCGAAAAAUAACGAGRCGGUUCUCUACGAGGCCCGCCAUCGGAAUGGGUACAAUUUAAAUCCUUUAACGAGGAUCUAUUGGAGGGCAAGUCUGGUGCCAGCAGCCGCGGUAAUUCCAGCUCCAAUAGCGUAUAUUAAAAUUGUUGUGGUUAAAAAGCUCGUAGUUGGAUCUGCGUCUAGGAGAGCGGUCCCCCGUUGGGCGGCUACUGCUUUUCCGGGACUAAUUAUUCGGUUYUCCCUUGAUGCUCUUCAUUGAGUGUCUUGGGUGGCCGGAACGUUUACUUUGAAAAAAUUAGAGUGCUCAAAGCAGGCGAUUCGCCUGAAUAUUCGUGCAUGGAAUAAUAAAAGAGGUCACUGCAGCUUUUUUAUUGGUUAUUGCUGCAAUGAAAUGAUCGACGGGGACAGACGGGGGCAUUCGUAUUGCGACGUUAGAGGUGAAAUUCUUGGAUCGUCGCAAGACGARCUACUGCGAAAGCAUUUGCCAAGAAUGUUUUCAUCAAUCAAGAACGAAAGUCUGAGGUUCGACAGCGAUCAGAUACCGCUUUAGUUCAGACCGUAAACGAUGCCAUCUGACGAUCCACCGGCGUUAAAUUUGACUCGGUGGGCAGUCUACGGGAAACCUAAG